AUUGAACGCUGGCGGCAGGCCUAACACAUGCAAGUCGAGCGGAGCGGCGGACGGGUGAGUAAUGCCUAGGAAUCUGCCUGGUAGUGGGGGAUAACGUCCGGAAACGGGCGCUAAUACCGCAUACUAUCAGAUGAGCCUAGGUCGGAUUAGCUAGUUGGUGGGGUAAAGGCCUACCAAGGCGACGAUCCGUAACUGGUCUGAGAGGAUGAUCAGUCACACUGGAACUGAGACACGGUCGAGACUCCUACGGGAGGCGGCAGUGGGGAAUAUUGGACAAUGGGCGAAAGCCUGCUCCAGCCCUGCCGCGUGUGGUAAGGAGGUCAUCGGAUUGUAAGGCACUUUAAGUUCGGAUGCGGUAUCAGCAGAAUAAGCACCGGCUAACUUCGUGCCAGCAGCCGCGGUAAUAC
rnacentral:rRNA from 1 species